UACGGGGGGGGCAAGCGUUGUUCGGAAUUAUUGGGCGUAAAGAGCUCGUAGGCGGCUUGUCACGUCGGGUGUGAAAGCCCGGGGCUUAACCCCGGGUCUGCAUUCGAUACGGGCUAGCUAGAGUGUGGUAGGGGAGAUCGGAAUUCCUGGUGUAGCGGUGAAAUGCGCAGAUAUCAGGAGGAACACCGGUGGCGAAGGCGGAUCUCUGGGCCAUUACUGACGCUGAGGAGCGAAAGCGUGGGGAGCAAACAGG
rnacentral:rRNA from 1 species